rnacentral:rRNA from 1 species
CGAGUGAAGCGGCAACAGCCCAGAUUUGAAAUCCGGCCCCAGGCCCGAGUUGUAAUCUGCAGAUGGCUCUUCCGGCAAGGCGCGCGCCCGAGUUCCCUGGAAUGGGACGCCUUAGAGGGUGAGAGCCCCGUACAGGCGCCGCGCCGAGCCUCCACGAUGGCCAUUCGACGAGUCGAGUAGUUUGGAAAUGCUGCUCUAAUCGCGGGGUAAAUCUCCCGUAAGGCUAAAUACCGGCCGGAGACCGAUAGCGAACAAGUAGCGUGAGCGAAAGAUGAAAAGAGCCUUGGAUAAGGGCGUCAAAAAGCAUGUGAAAUUGCUAUGGGGGAAGCGCUCGUCGCCAGACGCGGCGGCGGCCGGUUACCCGGCGUUCUCGCCGGCGCACUCGGACCGCCGCCGGGCCAGUACCGGCUGGCCGCGCGGCUUACUGCCACGGGGAACGUGCCUCCUCUCGGGGAGGGUUAUAGCCCCGCGGAGACGCCGCGCGGCCGGCCGAGGACCGCGCGUAAGCGAGGGUACUGGCGUAAUGGCGCCCAGCGACCCGUCUUGAAACACGGACCAAGGAGUUGACCUGCCCUGCGAGUGUACGGGUGCAAAGCCCCUACGCGCAGUGAAAGCGAACGCUGGUGGGAGCCCUCGGGCGCACCAUCGACCGAUCCCGAAGUUCGCGGAAGGAUUUGAGUAGGAGCGGGGCGGGUCUGACCCGAAAGAAGGUGAACUAUGCAUGAAUAGGGUGAAGCCAGAGGAAACUCUGGUGGAGGCUCGCAGCGGUUCUGACGUGCAAAUCGAUCGUCAAAUUU